UGUGACAACAUACUUUACAGUGUGCAUUAUUUACUCUUGGACAACGUACCAUGUAUUCACUGCAUACUUUAAUUAUAAUCACGGCCAUGUUGCCUGGAACGACUGGCCAGGAUUCAGUUUCACAAGAUCCUCUUCAAUUGCAAGUUCAAGAAGGACAGACCAUAAAGUUGAAUUGCACGUACACGACAAACUAUGGUGCACCAACCCUCUUCUGGUACAUCCAGUAUCCCCGGGAAUCUCUGGAAUAUUUACUGAGGAGAUUCGCUGAGGAAAAGGGAGAUACGUCUUCAAAGUUUUCUGAUCGGUUUUCUGCCUUUUUGGAAAAAGAUAAGAAAACAGUUCCAUUAAGCAUCGCUGGAGUUCGUGUCUCUGACUCAGCAAUGUAUUACUGUGCACUGCUGCCCACAUUGUUACAGAAAUACACUCAGCCCUUACAAAAACAAACAAGAGACUCUUACUCAGCUUCCCUCUCCACGCAUGGAACCAGACCACCUCAGUUUCUGCAGCACCAUUCCAUUUUCAUUUCUGCAAAUUUGUUUCCUUUAUCAUAG